GAUCCUGGCUCAGGAUGAACGCUGGCGGCGUGCCUAACACAUGCAAGUCGAGCGAAGCGCUUUAGUGGAAUUCUACGGAAGGAAAGUGAAGUGACUGAGCGGCGGACGGGUGAGUAACGCGUGGGUAACCUGCCUCAUACAGGGGGAUAACAGUUAGAAAUGACUGCUAAUACCGCAUAAGACCCCAGUACCGCAUGGUACAGAGGUAAAAACUGAGGUGGUAUGAGAUGGACCCGCGU
rnacentral:rRNA from 1 species